rnacentral:rRNA from 1 species
AUACGAAGGGGGCUAGCGUUGUUCGGAAUCACUGGGCGUAAAGCGCACGUAGGUGGACUAAUUAGUUGAGGGUGAAAUCCCGGGGCUUAACCUCGGAACUGCCUUCAAUACUGUUAGUCUUGAGUCCGAGAGAGGUGAGUGGAAUUCCUAGUGUAGAGGUGAAAUUCGUAGAUAUUAGGAAGAACACCAGUGGCGAAGGCGGCUCACUGGCUCGGUACUGACGCUGAGGUGCGAAAGCGUGGGGAGCAAACAGGAUUAGAUACCCGUGUAGUCC